GGCCAGCGUCGAAGCAUCUUAUACCGUUCGUCCUCGUGGGCAUUCCAAGCGGGAAUUCUCGAAAGCCAGUUGUGCCGUAGAAACACGCGUCGCCGCUUGCCGCUCGCUGCGACUUUCGAGUGCUCGUAAAACCCGCCGUUUUCUUGGCUUUGUACCGCUUUCGAGUGCACCGAAUUUUCUUUCCAGCGGACCACCGGCGAACACCGAAGUGCCGUAGCUACUUGACCCCGACGCCCCCAGGUUCCUACGGUCAAAUUCCGAUUGAAUAUCGCCCGAGAGGAUGGACGCCGAGACCGGGGCCAUUUUGGCCCUACAAAUAUUGGCUCUCUGUUCGAUUGUCGCUGCUCUGCUGGCCUAUCUGAUGCGGCAAUCGAGGAACGCGACCGACGAGUACGAAUCCCGUAACAAACGCCAUGUGCUCGUUACCAGCUGCGAUACCUGCGUGGGCUUGCAGAUCGCCCUUGCACUCUACGAAGUCGGCUACAAGGUGUUUGCCGGGAUGCUCGAUCCCUCUGGCAGUUCACCAUCGAUCAAGAUCCUGCGGGCAAUGGAGCAGCAGAAAGAGAGGGAGGGAGUGGAGCCGGCGGAAGGGGCGCAAAGCAGUCCGCAGGACCCGGAAGUACGUGCUCGCGGCCAAAUCGUGCCAUUGGAGCUGGACCCGACGAGGGAGGACAGUUUACGCGCUUGUUUGAACGCACUUAGAGCGAAACUUCCGGCCGGCGAAGACGGUCUUUGGGCAGUCGUGCACACCGGCGGUCAGGCUCUUCCUGGUAUUAUUGAGAGGCAGCCGAGUUCCGCGUGGGAAUCCAUGUUGCGACACAACUUGGUCGCUCCGCUCAGGACUGCUAGAGUCUUCAUUCCUUUGCUGCGUGCGAAACGAGGUCGCAUCGUUCUUUUGGGAGAUUCAGCGACGAGCUAUGGCACCAAAGCAGGGACGGGACUGGUGGCGUACAGCGCCUCCCGGAAGGCUGUGGAAGGGGCCGCGGAGGCACUAAAAAGCGAGCUACAGUCCUCCGGAGUCGACGUGGUCCUUCUUAAGCCGCCGCCCGUGAAUCCUCUUAUUCUUUAUAGCGCGCCAGUUCUCAAGACGUCCGAUGUGGAAUCGGGAAUAUUCUCGACGGAAGGGACGUGGACGGCUCCCGUGUCGACCCACUCCAUUCAGAGCUCGCUGAUACCGGCGCUGACGUCACCCUGUCCACGAGGAUCUUAUGACAUGGCCGCUAAAACGGGACUUUUCUGCCGAUGAACCGGCUGGUAACGAUGCUGGCGCAUACAUCGUUACACACAAGACUUAAUUAAUACCGCGUUAGGUUACGUGGCAGCCAGUAAUACUUUGUAAGACUCAAUGGUUUGGAACGGAGCCCUGUUGACUUUGUAUUAAUCAAUUCGGGGCGAUGAACGAUACAGAAUCACCAGGAUAACCAUUAAGGCUGUGUCGUUUGAGCGAUUCCGUUCUGGAUACCAUUCGUGAACAAGCUGCAAGAGGCUUGAGGUAGCUCUCUCUCUGC